rnacentral:rRNA from 1 species
GACGAACGCUGGCGGCGUGCCUAAUACAUGCAAGUCGAACGCUUCUUUCCUCCCGAGUGCUUGCACUCCAUUGGAAAGAGGAGUGGCGGACGGGUGAGUAACACGUGGGUAACCUACCCAUCAGAGGGGGAUAACACUUGGAAACAGGUGCUAAUACCGCAUAACAGUUUAUGCCGCAUGGCAUAAGAGUGAAAGGCGCUUUCGGGUGUCGCUGAUGGAUGGACCCGCGGUGCAUUAGCUAGUUGGUGAGGUAACGGCUCACCAAGGCCACGAUGCAUAGCCGACCUGAGAGGGUGAUCGGCCACACUGGGACUGAGACACGGCCCAGACUCCUACGGGAGGCAGCAGUAGGGAAUCUUCGGCAAUGGACGAAAGUCUGACCGAGCAACGCCGCGUGAGUGAAGAAGGUUUUCGGAUCGUAAAACUCUGUUGUUAGAGAAGAACAAGGACGUUAGUAACUGAACGUCCCCCGACGGUAUCUAACCAGAAAGCCACGGCUAACUACGUG